rfam:Myotis davidii contig229090, whole genome shotgun sequence.
GACAGUUCUCGGGUGAUGUACCCAGAAAUCGGGCUCCCUCCUCUCUGGUUCUGCAUGCAUCAUCCAAGAACUGCA